rnacentral:lncRNA from 10 species
AGCCAAGUGAUUAGAUAAACAAAAUGGAGUAUAACCAUGCAACAGAAUACUAUCAGGCCAUAAAAAGAAAUGAAGUGCUGAUACAUUCUACACAUGGAUAAAACUUGAAACCAUUAUACUAAGUGAAAUACGUCACAGUAGGCCACAUAUUGUAUAAUUCUAUUUAUAUGAAAUGUUCAGAGUAAUGAAAAUCCUUAGAGACAGAAAGUAAAUUAAUAACUGGCAUGGACGGGAGAGCAGGGAGCGACUGCUAAGAGUAUAAGAUUUCUUUGGUGGGUGAUGAAAAUUUUUUGAGUGUGGUGAUGGUUGCACAGCUCUGUGAAUAUACAAAAAAUCACUGAAUUGUACACAAUACAAAGUUGAAUUUUAAGUUAUGUAAAUUUUGUGUCAAUAAAGCAGUUAUUUUAUACAAGAUAAAAAAAUAAAGCCAGACACAAAGGAAGAAACAGUCCC